CCAAGGAGCUAGAACAUCGUUCCAUAAGAAGUACAAAUCUUAUCAUAUUUACUCUCUCUCUCUCUCUCUCUAUAUAUAUAUAUAUAACAGAUGACACAUUUCCACUUCAAAUGAAAGUAACUAUACCUGUUCGGUUUCGGAAUCCGACCUCUUAUUUUGGCUUGAAGGUAACAUCUAAGAAACAACUAACAAAUUAGUUGUACUGCUGAAGUACACUUUCCCAGUUUCGAGGUCCCCGAAAUAGCAUCCUGAAUUGGUUCCCGGUGCUGCUGGAAACCGAAACGGCAACGAGCCCUCCCUGAAAGUGAAGGCUCAUGAUCUGUCUUUCACAGCUUAAUCCUUUCGUCAUUAGCGGACGCAAUUGCUAAGCAUUAUAACUUCGGUAAAUAAAUGACUCCGUGAAUUCAGGGAUAAGUGCUGGGGAACCUAGUCACGGACACGUUCACUGAUGAUAACUCCAGAAUCCCUUUUGCUGAUCGGUUAACUCUCGUAUCAGAUGCACUCUAUGAGGCGGCAAAAAAGAGCUGCAGCCGCGACUUUGUCAAUGUGGACUCCACCAAUACUGCCUGUGUCGCAGACAUUGAUGCUACCGACGAGCUCACUCAGCAAAUCCCCUCGGUGCACGUUCUGGAACCGAAUUGCAAGAGCGCGAUGGCAAUGCCUGGCUCUGGAGAUUCUGUUUCUGCUCGGAGAUCACUUGGACAGUAGAAGUUCAAAGCAUCGAUUAGAUCCCGUGCCAAAGGUCCGGCGCUCUGGUGUCAGUGGGGAACGACAUGUCCAUUCCUCACAUGGGCACACACCAGAGACGGAUAGAUUUGGUAAACACGACAGUGGAUGAGAAAUGGAGACCUUGGGGUCUGUCGAUAACCAAACUGCUGGAGGUACAUCCAAGAUAAGUUCAGCUUGACAUUUGCAACAGUGAAGGCAAGACAAGACCUCCCACUCACCCUUCAUCUUUUCUCUCAAUGGUGAAAUUAUGUGUACAUUCACAUGGGGAGCAGGUCAGUUCGCGGCAGAAUACAAGGUGAUGGAGUGCUCAGCAAUGUUUCGUCGAUGGAUCCACUACCACGACCUCUAGAUAUCGGAACCAUCUAAAGUUUCAAUCGUUAAGGAACACCGAUUAUUCUGAAAGAUAACGAGUGCGCCAUGUCCCUCUGCAAAAAUGUAUGCUUCUCUCCAGCGGAAUAAAAAAGGAACGAUCUCUACGAUUUGCUCGA